GUUAAUGUAGCUUAAUAUACAAAGCAAAGGCACUGAAAAUGCCUAGAUGAGUCGCCAGACUCCAUAAACA
rnacentral:tRNA from 1 species